rnacentral:rRNA from 1 species
CACGGGGGGAGCAAGCGUUGUUCGGAAUCACUGGGCGUAAAGGGCGUGUAGGCGGUCAAGUAAGUGGAAUGUGAAAGCCCCCGGCUUACCCGGGGAUCUGCAUCCCAAACUGCUUGGCUUGAGUACGGGAGAGGAUAGGGGAAUUCCUGGUGUAGCGGUGAAAUGCGUAGAUAUCAGGAGGAACACCGGUGGCGAAGGCGCCUAUCUGGCCCGAUACUGACGCUGAGACGCGAAAGCUAGGGGAGCGAACGGG